rnacentral:rRNA from 1 species
AGUGAACGCUAGUGGCGUGCUUAACACAUGCAAGUCGAACGGACGAUAUUUGUGCUUGCACAAAUAAAGUUAGUGGCAAACGGGUGAGUAAUACAUGAGAAUUUUCCUUGCAGUACGGAAUAACUAUUGGAAACAGUAGCUAAUACCGUAUAUUGCCGAGAGGUGAAAGAUUUAUCGCUGCAAGAUAAGCCCAUGCAAGAUUAGCUUGUUGGUAAGGUAAUGGCUUACCAAGGCUACGAUCUUUAGCUGGUUUGAGAGGAUGAUCAGCCACACUGGAACUUAGACACGGUCCAGACUCCUACGGGAGGCAGCAGUGGGGAAUAUUGCACAAUGGGCGGAAGCCUGAUGCAGCAACGCCGCGUGCGGGAUGACGGCCUUCGGGUUGUAAACCGCUUUCGCCUGUGACGAAGCGUGAGUGACGGUAAUGGGUAAAGAAGCACCGGCUAACUACGUGCCAGCCGCCGCCGUAACAC